UGACAUCAUAUUUGGAAACUCAGCUAUGUAGGCAUACGAAAUUUUGCUAUGAAGGUGCUGAAUACAAUGGAGACACAUACACUGUUCAUACAUUUCUAGCAAAAAUGCUUUUAUUAUUAACACUUGCAAGUCAUUUUGGAACUGGAAAACAUCUACUGACCAGGGAAAAACUUUGUGACCAACAAUCCUGGAAUCAUGUCUUACCGGAUGAAUACUGCAUAUUGCAUCAUUUAUGUGCAAAACCACUGCAAUCUCCUUAUAAUUCUAUUCUGUUGUAUGAAAAUGGAAAAUUUGCAGCUGAACACAUAACUAGCAUUCCUUAUUCAACACAGAGUUUUACACAUACUUUAGCCUGUACAUUUGCAAAUAUUCUAUGCGGAAUACGUCCGAUAGAACUCUCUUUGAAAAGAUGACGUAUCUUUUGCAUACAACAGAAAAACAGGUACGUCAUUUUCACAAUCAUGCACGCUCCCAAUCGACAUCAUUUUGCUCCUAGCUUUGUCUGUGACUUACAAAAGUUUUGCUCCACGCCUACGUUGGUAUCAGACAUGGAGAUCUUUAUAAACAACAAAACAAUGAAAAAAAGUGGGAAAUUAUAAUCAAAAGCAUUUGGUAUGGGAUUUACUAAUACGCAAAUGUAUGACGAACCAGCUUCAAUACUUUGUAAACUGCAGAAUAUGGACUUGUUAUCCAUUCGUUUGAUGUGUUUGUGCUUUUGAUUUUGCCAUUUGAUUAGGGACUUUACGUUUUGAAUUUUCCUCGGAGUUCAGUAUUUUUGUGAUUUAACUUUUUACAUGAUAAUGAAAAUCUUAAUACUUCAGAUUGCCAGAGUAGAUGUAUCACAAUAUAGCAAUGAAACUGUGCCCGACAGAAAUAGUGGAACACCGUGGUAAUUUUUUUGCAGUCAUUAUUAUACAUGUAAUUAUGUUUGGCUUCUCGCUUCUUCAGUUGUACCUUGUAGUAAGGAAAUUGUUUGCUGAACGAAAGUCUGAUUUGAUGCAAAUAACACAAAAUUCUAAACUAAGCAACUCGGGUCAGACAAAAGAAAAUGACGACAAUCUAUACUUUGAUUCGAAUUCUACUAGCAAUGACGAAUGUGGUAAUAAGGUCAACGAAAACAUUGAAUCAAUCGUAAAUGCAGAUACUCCAGAGCACGAAAAUUCGAAGAAGGAGCAAGUCGGAGAACUUGUUGAUUUACGUGAAGAGUCACCAGAAGAAAAGCAGUUACCUCAGACAUGUCCACUACGCGCAUGUUAAAGUCUGGAAUAUUCAGUAGAUGAAUUAGAACCAUUUAUAUCUAUACAUGAAGACAAAGGACAGGAUGCUUAAUACGUUUCUUCGUUUUUAUUAGUGAUAAGAUAGCUUAAUGUCCAGAAAUAUAUACUGUAUCUGUAAAAACCAUCGAAAAGAAUGUAUAUCGUAUUUUUCUUGGAAUAUCUAUAUUUGUAUCUAUAUCAUCAUAUUUUGAUUUAUCCAACGUUAUAUAUAUCCUUAAUUAUUAACUCCUUGCUCGGAUACUUUUAGUGCUUAUACCUUUUAAAAUGCCAAAUAUAUGUUGUAUGUGAAUCGUUAAAUAAAUGAUAACUUUUAAUGUAUUUUCAUCACACAUGAAUGAUGGAUAUACGGUCUCUAUCAAGUAUCUCACUACUUGGAUACACUGUUAACUUGACAUAGAACCUAAGAAGAUGUGCUUGUAUGACAAUUGUCUCAUCUCCUGUUAAUUUCGUCUCCUCUUUUAAAUUGAGCGCUUCUGAUGAGGCGUAGUUAGACGUUACGUGUUUCUGGUAACUGAAUACUAGAUAAUAUAAGCCCUGUAUCUUUGAAAUGUUUCUUAAAACUGAAAGAAACCAUAUAGACUGUAGCUUAGAGAAUGAGGUUAAGAUUUGAUCUCGUUGAUUCAAACUAAGAAGUAUUUGAAAAUCGACAGCUACGCUGCAUAUCUACCCAUUAUUAUUUUGUUGAAAGUUUUAGUUUAAAAAUUGAAGAUGUGAUGAAUUAUUAUCCCAAUUUCAUAUUGGUCAAAUCAUGAUUUUCUUUUUUAAACACCAAGAGACAAAAAAGGGACAAACAAAAUCCGAAAGCAUCGGUUCGAUUCGGAUAUAUAAUGUAAGCAAUCUUUUCAAUUAACAACUGUCUAGUCUUUAUAAUUUAAUUUUUUUUCUAUUUUAUACUGGAUAACUCGAAAUAUACUUUCGUUCUUUUUUCUGCUUUUCUGCCUUCUUGGCAAAAAUAACAAAAUGUCAAAAUGUUAAAAUUAGUUAACUGUUACGAUGUUAUAUGAAGCUAUUUAGAUAAAUAUCACAUGUGUCAA